rnacentral:rRNA from 1 species
UGGGGAAUAUUGCACAAUGGAGGGAACUCUGAUGCAGCGACGCCGCGUGAACGAAGAAGGCUUUCGAGUCGUAAAGUUCUUUUAUAUGGGAAGAUAAUGACGGUACCAUAAGAAAAAGCCCCGGCUAACUACGUGCCAGCAGCCGCGGUAAUACGUAGGGGGCUAGCGUUGUCCGGAAUCACUGGGCGUAAAGGGUUCGCAGGCGGAAAUGCAUGUCAGGUGUAAAAGGCAGUAGCUUAACUACUGUAAGCAUUUGAAACUGCAUAUCUUGAGAAGAGUAGAGGUAAGUGGAAUUUUUAGUGUAGCGGUGAAAUGCGUAGAUAUUAAAAAGAAUACCGGUGGCGAAGGCGACUUACUGGGCUCAUUCUGACGCUGAGGAACGAAAGCGUGGGUAGCAAACAGG